rnacentral:lncRNA from 1 species
GGAACCGGGCGGAGCGGCCAACAUGGCGGAACGCAGGAGACACAAGAAGCGGAUCCAGAAGUUGGUGAACCAUCUAAAGAAGAGAAGGCUGUGGCCAAGUAUCUUCGAUUCAACUGUCCAACAAAGUCCACCAAUAUGAUGGGUCACCGGGUUGAUUAUUUUAUUGUUCAAAAGCAGUGGACUGUCUUUUGGAUUCAAAGUGGGCAAAGGCCAAGAAAGGAGAGGAAGCUUUAUUUACAACCAGGGAGUCUGUGGUUGACUACUGCAACAGCUUUUAAAGAAGCAGUUUUUUCACCGAGCCCUAAAAGUAAUGAAAAUGAAAUAUGAUAAAGACAUAAAGAAAGAAAAAGAUAAAGGAAAAGCUGAAAGUGGAAAAGAAGAAGAUAAAAAGAGCAAGAAAGAAAAUAUAAAGGAUGAGAAGACAAAAAAAGAAAAAGAGAAAAAAAAAGAUGGUGAAAAGGAAGAAUCCAAAAAGAGGAAACUCCAGGAACUCCUAAAAAGAAGGAAACUAAGAAAAAAUUCAAA